AUGUUUCCUGAGAAAAGUGGAGUGUUUUCGGUCAAAAGUGCUUACAAGCUAGCUACAUGUGAUCAUGAUACAACUUUUGCAGGAGGCUCCUCAAGUGCUGCUUCAAAUGGCACUAUAUCACUAAGGAAUUGUGUGUGGAAAUCUUCAGUCCCCCAAAAGAUGAAGAUAACAGCGUGGAAGAUUGUUACUGGGGUGUUACCAACGAAUCAGUACAAAGUGUACAGACAUAUCUCCAAACGAUCAACUUGUCCUCUAUGUGGGGUGGAGGAAGAAGGAACAUACCACGCAUUGGUAGCAUGUACACAUGCAAGAAUCUUAUGGGUAAAUAUGCGGGCUAGAUGGCCCCUUCCUUCUGAUGAUUUUCUGAUUGAUAAUGGUAAAGAAUGGCUUAUGCACCUACUUAGCACUUGCUCGGAUGAUGUGCGAGAUAUGAUUAUAAUGUUGACAUGGCGCAUAUGGCAGUUGCGAAAUGACCAGACACAUGGUAAGGAAGUUCCGUCAAUUCCCAAUACGGUGUAUUUCCUCGACAGUUAUUAUAAAUCCAUCAAGCUGGCAGGGAGCUACUCUACAGAGGAGAUUCUGAAAGGUAAAAUGUCAUCUUCGGCGGAUCAGAUAUCUGUACAAAGGAUGGAGACCCCUGCUCUGCUUUGGCCGGCCCCUAAAUCGGGCACUGUCGCUCUUACUGUGGACGAUUCAUUCCAGGAGGCCGACGGCUCGGCUGCCGCUGGAAUGGUUCUUCGAGACAGCGAUGGCAGAGUCAUUUUUGCUACUUAUCGUGUCUUAUUCUACUGCAACGACUCCUUGGAAGCUGAACUUCAUGCGAUCAUGCAAGACAUGGCCUUGGCCAUCCAUCAUACGACCCUUCCCGUUGUCGUUCAGUCGUCGGACUUUUCAGAAGCACUAGCCAGCCUAUCAAACAAUGCUUUGGUUCGCUCAGCUUAUGGUCAUUUAGUUCUAGAGAUUAAGGAUUUGAUGAGUAGUAGGGAGUUUUUACCUCAAAAAAUUCACCGUAGCCAAAAUAGAGUUGCCGAUUGGUUGGCCAACUAUAGCCGCUCCGAGAGAACUACUGCUGUGUGGUUAAACUCGGUUCCACCUUGUAUUGAGGAUUUGUGGCCUCUCGACUGUAACACUAUAAAUUUGCAAUAA
rnacentral:rRNA from 1 species